AUUGAACGCUGGCGGCAUGCCUUACACAUGCAAGUCGAACGGUAACAGGUUAAGCUGACGAGUGGCGAACGGGUGAGUAAUACAUCGGAACGUGCCCAGUAGUGGGGGAUAGCCCGGCGAAAGCCGGAUUAAUACCGCAUACGACCUACGGGUGAAAGGGGGGGAUCGCAAGACCUCUCGCUAUUGGAGCGGCCGAUGUAAGAUUAGGUAGUUGGGGGGGUAAAAGCCUACCAAGCCGACGAUCUGUAGCUGGUCUGAGAGGACGACCAGCCACACUGGGACUGAGACACGGCCCAGACUCCUACGGGAGGCAGCAGUGGGGAAUUUUGGACAAUGGGCGCAAGCCUGAUCCAGCCAUGCCGCGUGCGGGAAGAAGGCCUUCGGGUUGUAAACCGCUUUUGUCAGGGAAGAAACGCUCUGGGUUAAUACCCUGGGGUAAUGGCGGUACCUGAAGAAUAAGCACCGGCUAACUACGUGCCAGCCGCCGCCGUAA
rnacentral:rRNA from 1 species